AUUGAACGCUGGCGGCAUGCCUUACACAUGCAAGUCGAACGGCAGCACGGGUGCUUGCACCUGGUGGCGAGUGGCGAACGGGUGAGUAAUACAUCGGAACGUACCUUAUCGUGGGGGAUAACGCAGCGAAAGUUGCGCUAAUACCGCAUACGCCCUGAGGGGGAAAGCGGGGGACCGUAAGGCCUCGCGCGAGUAGAGAGGACGAUGUCUGAUUAGCUUGUUGGUGAGGUAAAAGCUCACCAAGGCGAUGAUCAGUAGCUGGUCUGAGAGGACGAUCAGCCACACUGGGACUGAGACACGGCCCAGACUCCUACGGGAGGCAGCAGUGGGGAAUUUUGGACAAUGGGGGCAACCCUGAUCCAGCAAUGCCGCGUGAGUGAAGAAGGCCUUCGGGUUGUAAAGCUCUUUUGUCAGGGAAGAAACAGCAGCUCUAACACAGUCUGCGAAUGACGGUACCUGAAGAAUAAGCACCGGCUAACUACGUGCCAGCAGCCGCAGUAAGAC
rnacentral:rRNA from 1 species